GGGUGGUAAUGCCGGAUGUUCCACAUGAUCGCAUGUGAUUGUGGGAAAGAUUCUAUCGGCGUGGGAUGGGGUCGCGUCCUAUCAGCUUGUUGGUGAGGUAACGGCUCACCAAGGCUUCGACGGGUAGCCGGCCUGAGAGGGCGACCGGCCACAUUGGGACUGAGAUACGGCCCAGACUCCUACGGGAGGCAGCAGUGGGGAAUAUUGCACAAUGGGCGCAAGCCUGAUGCAGCGACGCCGCGUGAGGGAUGGAGGCCUUCGGGUUGUAAACCUCUUUUGUUUGGGAGCAAGCCUUCGGGUGAGUGUACCUUUCGAAUAAGCGCCGGCUAACUACGUGCCAGCAGCCGCGGUAAUACGUAGGGCGCAAGCGUUAUCCGGAUUUAUUGGGCGUAAAGGGCUCGUAGGCGGCUCGUCGCGUCCGGUGUGAAAGUCCAUCCCUUAACGGUGGAUCUGCGCC
rnacentral:rRNA from 1 species